GCGGUCGUGGUCUAGAGGCUAUGACGUGUGCUUCACACGCAAAAGAUCCGGAGUUCGAUCCUCGGCGAACGUU